UAUCGGCUCCCUCCCUGUUGUUUCUCAGCUUCUGUCUCCUUUUUACUUCUCCUCCUCCACUCCUAAUUUCCCCCCUUCUUUCCCUCUUCUUCUCCCUCUUCUUCUCACUCUCUUCUCCUCUAUUUGUCCCUAUGUCUCUCCAUCUUUUCCAGACAGGCUCUACAGGUCACUAGUUGAGGCUUCUUGGUUCCUCUGACAUCAGCCAAUAAGUCAUAUUUAGAGUGGGCAUUCCCUGGUGGAAGGCCCGCCCCCCACUGACCAUACAAGGUAACAGUGGAAUGCAUGGCUUGGCAGUCCGUCUGCUUCAUAAGAGAGACACAGAGAGCAGAGGGUGUCCCACACUGAUGAGCAGUCCUAUUGUCGGCUGAUCUGAACUUCAGCAUAUUGUGAAAACACUGAAGCUUCAGAAGGAUGCAAGUGGGCAAACCUGCUCCUCAACUCAUCAUUAGUGCAAAAUCAGCCUUUUAGCAUCCAGACGAGUAAUUUCCCCCAGGAAAACCAAGGAACCUGCCACGGGAGAGGACCAGCCUGGAGAAAGCUCAUCAGUCCAGCAGCGGGGCAGCCUGCCAGCUGCUGCAGAUGUUUAAUAAGAACACUGCUGUGUGUAUUCACGCGCCAACACAGAUGAGAGACAAGGACAAUCUCGCGGUGUACAAGAAACCAACCAGGUGUUGCUGUUGAGAUAAUGGAGAUCAAAGAUGGAGAUCCAACCGAUUGCACUUUGGGAUGUCAGAGAUGAGCAAGUACAGAGUCGAGUUAUUCAUCCCUGUGGCCCAUGGUGCAGUGCUGCAUCUCUGGUCAGUUGGUAGUCUGAGAUGAAGCACUGUAGCUCGGGACGGAGGACAGACAUAUACCCACAGCCAGGUAACAGCAUCCAGCAGCAGGGCUGCAGGGCUCUGGUUGGCUUCAGACAAGGAGGAUGGUAUGAACCAGCAUGCAACAC